rnacentral:rRNA from 1 species
AUUGAACGCUGGCGGCAUGCCUUACACAUGCAAGUCGAACGGCAGCACGGGAGCAAUCCUGGUGGCGAGUGGCGAACGGGUGAGUAAAGUAUCGGAACGUGCCCCGUCGUGGGGGAUAACGUAGCGAAAGUUACGCUAAUACCGCAUACGAUCUAUGGAUGAAAGCGGGGGAUCGCAAGACCUCGCGCGAUUGGAGGCGCCGAUAUCUGAUUAGGUAGUUGGUGGGGUAAAGGCUCACCAAGCCGACGAUCUGUAGCUGGUCUGAGAGGACGACCAGCCACACUGGGACUGAGACACGGCCCAGACUCCUACGGGAGGCAGCAGGGGGGAAUUGUGGACAAUGGGCGCAAGCCUGAUCCAGCCAUGCCGCGUGCAGGAUGAAGGCCUUCGGGUUGUAAACUGCUUUUGUACGGAACGAAAAGGUUUGACUUAAUACGUUGGACUCAUGACGGUACCGUAAGAAUAAGCACCGGCUAACUACGUGCCAGCCGCCGCGGUAA